rnacentral:rRNA from 1 species
UACGGAGGAUGCGAGCGUUAUCCGGAUUUAUUGGGUUUAAAGGGUGCGCAGGCGGCGUGUCAAGCAAGCGGUAAAAUAGCGGGGCUCAACCCCGUCGAGCCGUUUGAACUGGCGCGCUUGAGUUCAGGCGAGGUAGGCGGAAUUCGUGGUGUAGCGGUGAAAUGCAUAGAUAUAACUUAGAACACCGAUAGCGAAGGCAGCUUACCAGACUGAGUCUGACGCUGAUGCACGAGAGCAUGGGUAGCGAACAGG